AUAAUACUCCCUCCGUCCGGAAUUACUUGUCAUCAAAAUGGAUGUGUCUAGAACUAAAAUACAUCUAGAUACAUCCAUUUCAAUGACAAGUAUUUUCGAACGGAGGGAGUAGUAG
rfam:Triticum aestivum genome assembly, contig: Triticum_aestivum_CS42_TGACv1_scaffold_424328_5BS